AGCAUUCUCUCUUUUUCUCACUGUGUCUCUUCCGCAAAAAGCUUCUUCUCUUCUCUCUUCCCCGACAAGCUUCUUCUCCGCGAGCUUCUCCGACAGCCCUUGGACCCAUUUGCUUUCGAGAUCAUGGCCAGAACACGAGGUUUAGGUCGUGCCAUAGGUAGAUUUGUAGGCAGAGAUAGAGCUGCUGGCGAGGAUGCUGGCGAUGUUCCCGAGAGGCGUAGGCCUACUGCCUCAGCCCGUAGGCUACGCGUUCAUCAGAUGACUACGGAGGGAC